rnacentral:rRNA from 1 species
UACGUAGGGAGCAAGCGUUGUCCGGAAUCAUUGGGCGUAAAGCGCGCGUAGGCGGCCCUGUAAGUCCGUUGUGAAAGUCAAAGGCUCAACCUUUGAAAGCCGAUGGAUACUGCAGGGCUAGAGUCCGGAAGAGGCGAGUGGAAUUCCUGGUGCAGCGGUGAAAUGCGCAGAUAUCAGGAGGAACACCGGUGGCGAAGGCGGGUCUCUGGGCCGAUACUGACGCUGAGGAGCGAAAGCGUGGGGAGCGAACAGG